UACGUAGGGUGCAAGCGUUGUCCGGAAUUAUUGGGCGUAAAGAGCUCGUAGGCGGUCUGUCACGUCGGAUGUGAAAAUCCAGGGCUUAACCCUGGACCUGCAUUCGAUACGGGCAGACUAGAGUUCGGUAGGGGAGGACUGGAAUUCCUGGUGUAGCGGUGAAAUGCGUAGAUAUCGGGAGGAACACCAGCGGCGAAGGCGGCACUCUGGGCUGGAACUGACGCUGAGGAGCGAAAGCGUGGGUAGCAAACAGG
rnacentral:rRNA from 1 species